rnacentral:rRNA from 1 species
UGCAGGUCGAACGGCAGCGCGGGCUUCGGCCUGGCGGCGAGUGGCGAACGGGUGAGUAAUACAUCGGAACGUGCCCUGUCGUGGGGGAUAACUAGUCGAAAGAUUAGCUAAUACCGCAUACGACCUGAGGGUGAAAGCGGGGGACCGCAAGGCCUCGCGCGAUAGGAGCGGCCGAUGUCUGAUUAGCUAGUUGGUGGGGUAAAGGCCUACCAAGGCGACGAUCAGUAGCUGGUCUGAGAGGACGAUCAGCCACACUGGGACUGAGACACGGCCCAGACUCCUACGGGAGGCAGCAGUGGGGAAUUUUGGACAAUGGGGGCAACCCUGAUCCAGCAAUGCCGCGUGUGUGAAGAAGGCCUUCGGGUUGUAAAGCACUUUUGUCCGGAAAGAAAUGGCCUGGGUUAAUAC